GGCGCACGGGUGAGUAACGCGUAAGUAAUCUACCCUGGCAUCUGGAAUAACCCACCGAAAGGUGUGCUAAUACCGGAUACGCUGAUUUAUCAGGAAAGGUGGCCUCUUCAUGAAAGCUACUGUGCCGGGAGGAGCUUGCGUACCAUUAGCUAGUUGGUGGGGUAAUGGCCUACCAAGGCGACGAUGGUUAGCGGGUCUGAGAGGAUGAUCCGCCACACUGGAACUGGAACACGGACCAGACUCCUACGGGAGGCAGCAGUGAGGAAUAUUGCGCAAUGGGGGAAACCCUGACGCAGCGACGCCGCGUGGAUGAUGAAGGCCUUCGGGUCGUAAAAUCCUGUCAGAUGGAAAGAAAUGGUAUAUGCCUAAUAUGUGUAUACUUUGACGGUACCAUCAAAGGAAGCACCGGCUAACUCCGUGCCAGCAGCCGCGGUAAUACGGAGGGUGCAAGCGUUGUUCGGAAUUACUGGGCGUAAAGCGCGCGUAGGCGGCUUUUUAAGUCAGAUGUGAAAGUCCACGGCUCAACCGUGGAAGUGCAUUUGAUACUGGGAAGCUUGAGUACUGGAGGGGAUGGUGGAAUUCCCGGUGUAGAGGUGAAAUUCGUAGAUAUCGGGAGGAAUACCGGUGGCGAAGGCGACCAUCUGGCCAGAUACUGACGCUGAGGUGCGAAAGCGUG
rnacentral:rRNA from 1 species